GUGAAAAUUCAUUCAUGAUCCAAUCGUUAUAAUAAUUUGUACUCAUAUUCAUAAAAGUCCCUGAAUAUUAUAUAUACUGGCAAUAAUAAGAAAGUCUUUUGUUUGCAUUUAAAUGACGUAUUGGUGCACUGCUCUAUCCGCGAGAGCAGCAGCUGGGCGCACACGUCUCUCCCGCGCUCUGUGUUUAGAUGAACGUCGUCAUGGAGUUCAAAACACUUUCAUUCAGUUUCCAAACUGGGAAACACACUGAAUUAAAAUUAAGAGAAUUAAAAGCUACGUUUAAGUUUGAUCGGCACACUGGGUCACAAGAGCUCUGUGGGCAUCUCUAUUGAUUGUGAUAAGGAGGAGGUGGUGGUGGAAACGUAUCUGAUUGAUGGUCUGGUUGGGACCUUGCCAUCCCUCCCUUAACUAACUUGGAAAACAACAUGCACAAUAACACAAUAAUACUGAACAAACAAUACUAAUAUAACACUCCUAGGCAAACCACAUAGACAAUUGCAAAUUCAAUUUAUCCUACAAACAUAAAAUACAAGUAUUAGGCAGGCAUGACGAUGCAGAGGAUCGUAGACCAGAGUACAGAUUAUCGACAGACAGAUAAUCACUCAAUUAAACCCAUUUAUAAUUAUGGGUUUGGAAUUACACCGCACCAGGGAAGAAAGAAAAACACUUACCCUGGCACUUCUGACACCAAAUUGUUAGAUUUCCAUGUAUCUCAGGAAUCUCAGAUUAUGCCUUCCAGCCUUUUCUAAAGUUACUUCUAUUAACUUUUAGUUCUGUGCUUAGAAAGUGUGGUUCUCCUCAGAGCAUUUCAGAUCGAUCUGGGGAGCCUAAAUGAACACACACUACCACAUGCAUGCUCAAAUAGACAUCCCAGUUUAUUCAUGCAAACCAAGAGUAUGUAUACACAUUGAUAACAGCAGUGCGUGGACAGUUUCUACUGGUGCAGGGGCCAGACAGAUUUAGACAAAAUGCACAGCACACAGGGUCAUACUACAAAAUAAGUCCACUAUAAUAAAGAUGGCAGGUGAUCAGCUUAUUCAAAGAGGUGAUUAAAUGUAUACAUCCAUCAUAGGUAUUUGGUAGCAGUUCAUAGUAUAAGAGAGUACAUGAUAUAUAUUUAUUUCAAAUCUGAUCCAAAAUAACCUUGUAAUAGCCUGGUAAUAAUUCGUAUAAAACUGUAAUUGAUUCAUGGUGUGCACUGUGUGAAGUUAAAUGAAACCUACAACUAAAUUAUUUUCAGUAUCUAAAGAUAUAAUUUUGUAAACAUUUCAGCUGAUUCAGCUGAAAAUGAAUGUUUUGAAGCUGUGUAAUGAAAUCUUGUGGCUGGUGUGAAAGGGUGAAGUAAGGUUGUUGCAG
ensembl:lncRNA